UAGUGUGUGCCGUUUCGCUUCAUUGCUUAAGGAUGUCCAGUGGAGCUUUAGGCCGUGGCUCAUUUCACUCGGUUGUAGCCGGAGCGAAUCCGCGCCGCAUCCCUACUUACUACAACUCUGCCUAUGAGCUCAUCCAGCUGCAUCGCGCUCACCGCGAAGUGACACGGAACUUUCUCGUCCGUGAUAAGGUGUUCGACAAUAAGUUCCCAGGUUGCUCGCUCGCCAACGGUCUCUUCAAGAUGGUUCCGAACAAGAGAGGCAACUUCCACACGCGAGAGCUGACGGAGUCUAUUCGGCAUCGCACAAUAUGGGCACAGCGCAUUCAGCAGCAGCGCACCAUCAACGCGGCCAUUCUUGACGACGCCACGAAGGUGCUCAGCCCGGCACAGAUGGAGGACCGCUUUUCGUAUCGCACUCCCGACGCGGCAGCAUACUUUAGCCCACAAGAGUACACGGCGGCCAACAACUGGCCCAACUACUGGCAGCAUCCAACAGAGAAGCAUGUAGUGCCAAGGCCGCGCUGGCGUCGUGAGCCGGAGUUGGGCGGCAUCACGCGCGUGCGUGACGCCGUAGCAACCCCCAUUGCGGAUUAUUAGGCCUCAGAGGGUGGGCGCACCUCUGCGUUCUUGUGCGUGAAAAAUUGGCAGGCGGGGCGUCAAGGUGCUUGGCUGCCUGCGAAGCGGGUUUUCUCUGCCAGUGCGCUUGUUUUGUUUUUUUCAGUGCACGUGUGGAUGCAUCCGCAGGUGUUUCUCUGUCACAGAACCGCUUGCGAUGAGCCUUGCUGUUCUCCCUCAGGCUCGAUUCAAGCGCUUGGUUGGGUAAGGCGAAGCAAGAGAGCGCAUCUUUCAAUGACCUAAUACGCCCACGACCGUUGAAUGCGAGUACCAAACUCGAUAGAGGCCAACUUCUAGGGGAUUUGCUCUGCAGAGUUACCAUGCUUCUCUCGAGAGUGCGCAUCAUCUUCCUACGAGUGCUGCUGCCUCAAGUUACCUUCUGAGGAUCGAGUGCGGCGUCGGAACCCCUCCGCCUCAUGUGCUCUUCGAAAUGAGCGCUCUUCACGGAGCCCUAACCGACUGGCGGCAUUGCAAUGAAUGAGGCCAGCGAACUGCCGUCUUUAUACACGUUCUUACCGCUAAUUCAGCUUGCAAAUGAAGCUUGUCUCGUUCUCUUCACUGCCCCUGCAACAUGGACUUGCGUGGUGCGGCGACCGAACAAAG
rnacentral:misc_RNA from 1 species